rnacentral:rRNA from 1 species
AGAAAAGCAGGGGAUCGCAAGACCUUGCGCUUUUGGAGCGGCCGAUGUCUGAUUAGCUAGUUGGUGAGGUAAAGGCUUACCAAGGCGUCGAUCAGUAGCUGGUCUGAGAGGACGACCAGCCACACUGGGACUGAGACACGGCCCAGACUCCUACGGGAGGCAGCAGUGGGGAAUUUUGGACAAUGGGGGAAACCCUGAUCCAGCCAUGCCGCGUGAGUGAAGAAGGCCUUCGGGUUGUAAAGCUCUUUCAGCCGGAACGAAACGGUCACGGCUAAUACCUGUGAUCACUGACGGUACCGGAAGAAGAAGCACCGGCUAACUACGUGCCAGCAGCCGCGGUAAUACGUAGGGUGCGAGCGUUAAUCGGAAUUACUGGGCGUAAAGCGUGCGCAGGCGGUUUUGUAAGUCAGAUGUGAAAUCCCCGGGCUUAACCUGGGAACUGCGUUUGAAACUACAAGG